rnacentral:ncRNA from 2 species
UCGUAACAAGGUUUCCGUAGGUGAACCUGC